rnacentral:sRNA from 1 species
UGAGGAGGAGCCAAAUGCGUAGCAUUUAUGAAAAUGGCUCCGACGACCUGCCCCCGAAGGAAGCUGAGGGGGCGAUACCG